rnacentral:rRNA from 1 species
CCUACGGGAGGCAGCAGUAGGGAAUAUUGCUCAAUGGGGGAAACCCUGAAGCAGCAACGCCGCGUGGAGGAUGAAGGUUUUCGGAUUGUAAACUCCUGUUGUUAGAGAAGAGAAUGACGGUAGCUAACGAAUAAGCACCGGCUAACGCCGUGCCAGCAGCCGCGGUAAUACGGAGGGUGCAAGCGUUACGCGGAACAACUGGGCGUAAAGAGCGCGGAGGCGGGAUAGCAAGUCAGAUGUGAAAUCCUAGGGCUUAACCAUAGUACUGCAUUUGAAACUUUUAUUCUAGAGUAUGGGAGAGGUAGGUGGAAUUCUUGUUGUAGGGGUUCCAUCCGUA